UACGUAGGGUGCGAGCGUUAAUCGGAAUUACUGGGCGUAAAGCGUGCGCAGGCGGUUCGCCAAGUCAGGUGUGAAAUCCCCGGGCUUAACCUGGGAACUGCAUUGGUGACUGCAUUGCUGGAGUAUGGCAGAGGGGGGUGGAAUUCCACGUGUAGCAGUGAAAUGCGUAGAGAUGUGGAGGAACACCGAUGGCGAAGGCAGCCCCCUGGGCCAAUACUGACGCUCAUGCACGAAAGCGUGGGGAGCAAACAGG
rnacentral:rRNA from 1 species